rnacentral:lncRNA from 1 species
UGCUCUUAACAGCACCGUCAGGAAAAAGAAUUGAGUAUCACGGUGGUCCACUCCUACCUGAUGAAGCAAAUGCAUAUUAAGUUUCUAUGUCUCUUGGAGUUGUAAGCUAAGAGGAUUAGUAGUCAAGAAGGACUUCGGUCAACUAUGAAUAAUAGUCAUUCAAUGGAAAUGUUGUUCACGAGAUGUGACCUUGAGGUAUAAGUGUUUACAUUUGGUAUGCAAGUUGUGAAGUUGAAAGGAUUAUCAAGAUAUUUUCCUAUUUCUCUCAAAGGAUCUGAGCCUCUUUCGAAUCUCGAGGACGAGAUUCAUUUUUAAGGGGGGUAGA